CAGUAGCCACGGGAACACAGAGGGUGCGAGCGUUAAUCGGAUUUACUGGGCGUAAAGCGUGCGUAGGCGGCUUUUUAAGUCGGAUGUGAAAUCCCUGAGCUUAACUUAGGAAUUGCAUUCGAUACUGGGAAGCUAGAGUAUGGGAGAGGAUGGUAGAAUUCCAGGUGUAGCGGUGAAAUGCGUAGAGAUCUGGAGGAAUACCGAUGGCGAAGGCAGCCAUCUGGCCUAAUACUGACGCUGAGGUACGGAAGCAUGGGGAGCAAACAGGAUUAGAUACCCCGGUAGUCCCUGUCUCUUAUAC
rnacentral:rRNA from 1 species